rnacentral:rRNA from 1 species
UAAGGAAUCUUCCGCAAUGGGCGCAAGCCUGACGGAGCGACGCCGCGUGCAUGACGACGCCCUUCGGGGUGUAAAAUGCUUUUCUCUGGGAUGACACCCGACAGUACCAGGGGAAUCAGCCUCGGCUAACUACGUGCCAGCAGCCGCGGUAAUACGUAGGAGGCGAGCGUUGUCCGGAAUCACUGGGCGUAAAGCGCGUGUAGGCGGGAGGGCAAGUCUGCUGUGAAAGCGCCCGGCUUAACCGGGCGAGGUCGGCGGAAACUGCCCACCUGGAGGGCGGUAGAGGGGGGUGGAAUUCCCGGUGUAGUGGUGAAAUGCGUAGAGAUCGGGAGGAACACCUGUGGCGAAGGCGGCCCCCUGGGCCGCACCUGACGCUGAGACGCGAAGGCGUGGGGAGCGAACGG